rnacentral:tRNA from 1 species
GCCUUCGUGGUGUAGUGGUCAGCACGCUGGAGGCGUAUUCCAGAUGUCCGGGGUUCGAUUCCCAGCAAAGGUG